ACCAGCGUUGUUCUUCCUCACGCUGAACCGUCCUGCUCUGUGUCAAAGCAGCGCCACUCUGCCAUCUCCCAGCAAGUUCACAAACCUGUCAUUUCCCAAACCAGAAAUCCAUUUGCAACUUCUUGCAAACACUUCCCACACGGACAAAAAGGCAUGAAGAGCCUGACAAGAGCCUGGCGUUCUUCCUCCUUCCGGCUCGCAACCCUGCAAUCAGACAGCAUCAGAGAGCUGGAUGCACUUUGGUUCCAGGCUCUUCAGCCGUCACAGCUCCUUCAAACGUGAAGAAGCUGCUGACAAUCAGUCCGUCUUUUCAUAAACACAACAGCAAAUUGCUCAUUUUUAAACAGGAAGACAAUUCAAACCCGUCUGUUUGGUCCUUGGCCAGUUAGUUCCCGAGUUCAUGCCCACUUGUUGCAUUUCUUCCUGCUUCUAGUUUAAACAAGCUGUUUUACACCAUGUAACAGCAGUGAAUUUCUUUCGGUAGUGGGAAAAUAUUUGAUAAUAAAAAGACUUUGAAUUUACCAGUUAAAAUGCAAGGAUAAUGUGAUGUAAACAAUAUUUUGAACAAAGGAAGUUUGAUUUGUUCUACUAAACUGCAUACAGUAGCUUCAAAUUCAAAUUCAAAAACACUUUAUUGAUCCCAAAGGUGAAUUAAAUGCUGUAACUCAUUGAUUCAGAUUCUUCAGAAUAGUUAUUGUAGAUAGUGAUGACUGUUGGCAGGAAAGAUCUCCCAUAGUGGUCUCUGUUACAGCAAAUGUGAAUAAACCUCUGACUGAAGAUACUCUGUCUUCUCAUGAACAGGAUGGUCAGGAUUGUCUUUAAUUUUCUUGAUUUUAUGAAGAAUCCUUCUGCAUUUCAUCAUAUUUUCAAAUUUAUUGAAAUCAGUAAUUUAUAGGUGUAGCUACAUUGAGGAGGAGUUGAUAAUUAUUCUGAUGAUGUACAGGUACUGGUCAAAAAUUUUUAAUAUCAUGAAAAAGUUGAUUUAACUCAGUAAUUCCUUCAAAAAGUAAAAUUUGUAAGAUAUAGUCAUUCGUUACAUACAGAUUAACGUUCAUAUACUUUACAAGAAAGCAUGAUUAGACAGAUAUUAAAUAUCACAUUAUGGAAAAGGUGCGUGCCCAACCGUUGGUAACCAUGGAAACAGUGCCGAAACUCCGCCCACUCCUCCAUAACGGUCGUCAAAACAAACAAUGCACUCCUUUAAAGUUAAUCUAAAAACAGACAUGUAACCUAUUAACCUAUGAUCGCUUCUAAUUAGUUGAUUUCACUUUUAAAAAUGUCACCGGGUGCUGCGCGGUCGGCUGCACAAGAAGGUAAGGGUGAAGACCAAACUUUAUUUUCUAAGUGUUAAUGAGGAAAGAUACGGCAGAGACGGCUGGCAGCUCUCGGUGUUAUCGCGGAUUUGCAGCGAACAUUUUUUACAAGAGUCUAAUCCCACCUACAUUCACAGCCUGAUCCGGCCAGCAGCAGCUUGCCCAGCGGCAGGGAUCGUCUGACCGCCUUCACCACCUCCACUCGCUCCUCCUCCGUCAGGUUCUCCUCCAGCUUCUGGUAGUCUACGUCCUCCUUGGCGGUGAACGGAGUGGCAAUGGGGGGGUAAAUGCCGCUGAGAUCCAG